GAUGAAGAACGCAGCGAAAUGCGAUACGUAAUGUGAAUUGCAGAAUUCAGUGAAUCAUCGAGUCUUUGAACGCACAUUGCGCCCCCUGGUAUUCCGGGGGGCAUGCCUGUCCGAGCGUCAUUGCUGCCCUCAAGCCCGGCUUGUGUGUUGGGUCUCGUCCCCCUUCCCGGGGGGACGGGCCCGAAAGGCAGCGGCGGCACCGCGUCCGGUCCUCGAGCGUAUGGGGCUUUGUCACCCGCUCUGUAGGCCCGGCCGGCGCUUGCCGAUCAACCAAAACUUUUUUCCAGGUUGACCUCGGAUUAGGUAGGGAUACCCGCUGAACUUAAGCAUAUCAAUAAGCGGAGA
rnacentral:misc_RNA from 1 species